UUAAUCUAUGCAGGUAUUUGAACUUUUACAUUUUCUUUUGCAGCUUUUGCUUUUUUUUAAUUUGAAGUGGUAUUUAAUAAUUAACUUUAACAUGAUUUGUGCAGCUUGCCCACUUCAAAAGAAUCGGCUGUUGCAUGGGCCCGAGAACAAGGUCUUCUACGAUCGAGGAAGAAUUGCCCUGUUCAUCCUUGAUCGCAGCAGUUAAGGAGCAUUACACCUUUACAUAAGAUACUCAGUCACAGAAACACGAAGAAGUGAAGAUUUGAAUACAGGCGCGACAGGCACGCCAGUGGCGAUGGAAGCGAUACAUGCGAACCAAUCAGAGCAUGGGUAGAGGCAAUAUGGCGUCGUACUAACCUGUAAAAGUCAAAAACGUAGCGUAAGCGUAAGCGUAAGCGUAAGCGUAAGCGUAAGCGUAAGCGUAAGCGUAAGCGUAAGCGUAAGCGUAAGCGUAAGCGUAAGCGUAAGCGUAGAGUCUACAAUAUACAUAAGGUGUCUGGAGCCAGAUAUAGAAAAGAGACCAGCUUCAGUCCUUUCAGUUUUCAAAAGUAUACAGAACGCAUGGCAGGAUGUCUCACUGCAAGAAAUUUAAAUGUUAAGGAUGAAUCGAGAAAUGAGAAAAAGAAAUCAACUAUUUGUAACCGCAUAAUUUACUGUAUUAGAAUAAAGUUCAAAAGUACACACAAUGCAUGGCAGAAAGUUUUGUUGCAAGAAAUUCAAAUAAUAAGAAAAUGAACAGAGAUACACUAUUUGUAACACAUAAUUUAUUGUAUUACAAUAAUAUAGAAAAAGAGAGGUCAGAUUUAGUUCUUUUAUCCUCAAAAAUA